ensembl:lncRNA
GCGCUGAAUCCUUCGCAGCUUCCGCUCGCAAUGAGUGUUCCGCCUGAACCUGAAGCUCCUGCGUCCCGUCUCACAAUACGUCUCACAGGCGGCUGGAAAACAAUUAAAUGAGUGUGAUAUGAAUACAAAAAAAAAAUCAAACGCAAGUCACAGUAACAUUUAACAAGGAAGGAGAAACAGUGUCACUUACACACAAUGACGUCGUCUAAAUCUGGACUUUUCCCGGAGCAAAUACGAGGUCACCGCCUCAUUAUGAGGCGAGAUUAGUCUGUGAAAACAAAAUGUACAGUUAUGAUCGGUAUCUAUACGUAUAUAUUCCCUUAUAGCGCAGAAUGAAAGCAUAUUCUGUAAAUCUGACCCUUGCUCCGGUUCGUGGCGCCUGUAAUUCGUCUCGGAGUUGUGAAGACGGCGCAGCGCUUCCUGUAAACGACACGGCAAAGAAAACACACUUUAAUAAAGCUGUUUCUGCUCACUUGUAAGGCUACUAGGCUACUCUUAGCUUAGCUUGAGGCUACGCUACUUUUAGCUUAGCUUGCAGUCAUCGAACGUAUUCUUACCGCUAUCGUGGGAUCGUGCGCCCGUCUCCUCUUCUUUGAGUCGGUUCCUCUCCUCCAUGGACAGAAACCCGCAGAGUCCCGAACGCUCCAGUGGAGCGAACCGCUCGUUGAUAUCGGCAGUUUGUUGUUGGAGUUGACGAGACGAUCCACUGAGAUCAUCAGCAGCUUCUUCUCGUCUGUCUGCGGACUGGCCGAAAGUUGGUGACCGCGGAGAGGAGUUGAAGGCGAGUUGAGCGCGAGACGUCGUCCAGCCAUUAUUCACGAAGCAGCAAAAACCAAACAAAGGAACUGGAGAUACAGUUCUUCUGAAUAUAGUAACACACACGUGUCUGUUUGUAUGCUCGUCUUGCAAGUACUGCUGUAUCAGUCAUGCCUAUGACCUCACACGUGAUUGGACGAGGAGUCUAAGGGUCCUCCAAUCACAUACGAGGUUAUUGUUAUACGGAAGGACCAGUAUUUUAGGAAGACAAAUGGUUGGGACUUUGAAACAGCUGAUAUGCUUUAUGUAAAGCAGUGUUUUGGUGUCAGCGGAACGACUUUCCCUAGAAAUCUGUACAGUGGUGCCUCUUUCUCCAUUCCACCAGACACUCUAGAGUCUGACAGACAUGCAAUGUUGACAAUGUAUCAUCACAUGUACCCUUGUGUCACUGAGGUUGAAUGUUUUGCCAUGACAUGUAAACGGGUAACAUAUAUGAAUGUAACUUACUCAAUCGAUAGAUGCAGAGCAGAAAGGUCAGCAUAUGUUCAUGCUAAGUGGUGUGGAAACACUAACAGUUUUGAGGAACCCGUCCUUGACCCUCUAGCAGAACUACGACCAGCCAUUAUAAAGCAGUUUAUAGUUGUUAAUGUUGUGUCAAAGGGUACGGCAUUUAAACAUGUUCUUGCACAAGUUUCCUGGCUUCAUCCCCACCCGGACAGACAUUUUGAUGGAAAGCCAAUAGAAGUUUGGGGCUUGCAGGGAACAGACACGUCAUAC